AUUGAACGCUGGCGGCAGGCUUAACACAUGCAAGUCGAGCGGGGGAAGGUAGCUUGCUACCGGACCUAGCGGCGGACGGGUGAGUAAUGCUUAGGAAUCUGCCUAUUAGUGGGGGACAACAUCUCGAAAGGGAUGCUAAUACCGCAUACGUCCUACGGGAGAAAGCAGGGGAUCUGCGGACCUUGCGCUAAUAGAUGAGCCUAAUUCGGAUUAGCUAGUUGGUGGAGUAAAGGCCUACCAAGGCGACGAUCUGUAGCGGGUCUGAGAGGAUGAUCCGCCACACUGGGCCUGCGACACGGCCCAGACUCCUACGGGAGGCAGCAGUGGGGAAUAUUGGACAAUGGGGGGAACCCUGAUCCAGCCAUGCCGCGUGUGUGAAGAAGGCCUUAUGGUUGUAAAGCACUUUAAGCGAGGAGGAGGCUACUCUAGUUAAUACCUAGGGAUAGUGGACGUUACUCGCAGAAUAAGCACCGGCUAACUCUGUGCCAGCAGCCGCCGUAA
rnacentral:rRNA from 1 species